GGGACUUUAGCAAUUUUAUGUAGGGUAUCUACCAAUCAUAAAUGUAAUAGAAUUUCAUUCCUGCGAUGAUUUACACAAACAAAAAUAAGGAAUUGCUAUUGUAAUGCUACUACAUAUCCUGGAUGUGCACAAAUUUAUUCAGUGUAAAUUCAAUUUCUUUCAAUACGCACCCUAAUCUAGUUUAACAAUGCACUUUAGCCAAGCCUACUUUACUUUCUUGAAACUAUGGGUUGAAGAGAAUUCAUCUAGCAAGCACACACCGCGCAUCUCCCGGUUUGGUCACUGCCAGAUUGGGCUGUCCUUCAUCACUUAAAACAGUAAUAGUUAUAGUAUUUUAAUAGUUCUUUAAACAAUGAAAUACAUCCUAUAUUUCCCUCAAGAAAAUCAGCAUCACCGUCACUUAAAGGUUCACGAACUGUUCUUUCCUUGCUUGGGGACUGAAUAGCAUAAUCACUCCAACCAAAUCUUUGAUCUGAAGUCAUCUUUGAUCUGAAGUCCUAGGCAGUUUGCUUGACAUUUUUGGAUAAGGAGUAGGUUCAACUUCUGACUAAUAGCUUGACUGUUCAAUCUUAAAGUGUGUGUUUUGCUUAGACUUGAAAUUCUAUAUUUCAUUAUGCUAUCCUAAGUAUUUAGAUUUAGCAAUAUGGAGAAUACAUUUUCUUGAAAUUGUUUUUUUUUUUAAUAUCUACAAAUUUCAAUGUGAUUAACUAACUCUUGUUAUUAUAGUUCAGCCUUUAAGUUUCAAAGGACUCAUCCUCCCAGAUACCAUCCUGGGCAGUAUAGCCACUUUCAGCCUUUAAGUUUCAAAGGACUCAUCCUCCCAGAUACCAUCCUGGGCAGUAUAGCCACUGGUGAAUAUAACAGCAUUCCCACACUCUGUAGAUUAAUGAAGAUUAAUGAUUAAAAAAAAAAAGCUUACCUGUUCGUGGAAGACUACCUCUUUGCUCUUAAUUUCAGAAGAGCCUUUCCGUGGAAGGAAGCUCUUGAAGGUAGAUAAAUUCUUGGCGAGGUAGUGCAUUCCCAUGGUCGAAAGCAAAAAUGCAAAGCAGAAAUUUGGAGAAUGAUUUUGAAUGAUAGUUAACCUGUAAUAUAUAGUGUGUAAUAGAUGUCUUAGAGUGAAAGAGUUCUAUAUGUAUAUUAAAUAGUUUUGAAUUCCCGGUGAGA